ACUAACCCAGGAAGAGGAACCGAUCCCCCCCCCAAAGCCUUCCACAAACACAACUCAGAGGACCGGCACGCUGGCCUGGGCAGGAGAGUGCGUGCCAGGCUCAGGCUCCUCCCGGGGUCCAGCCUGGGGGUGCGGAGCCAGAGAUUGCAAUAUCUGACCCGGCUGACUCAUGCACCGGAAGCCUUGCCCGAAUCAAAGCGGACGUGAAGCAUCCAGCAAGCUGGAAUAGGAUCCCCGGCGGCAGAAGCAGCAGCAAGGGCCGCAGCAGGCAUCCCCCAGAGACAUCUCCUCUUGAAAAAGUAUCUUCGGAGGAAUCUUCAAGGAAACCAUUCAACAGCGGAGAGGCUCUGCUUGAAAUAGUUGUCGCCCGUCCCCGUGACACCAGUUCAGCUCCUCUCUCCUGCCUCUGAGAGACCCAGCUCCUAGCGGCUGCCUGCACUCCCUGGACCGUGGUCUUGCAUCAUUCUGACCUUUGCUUCCCUCGUCACGUCUCCUUCUCUGACUUUGACCCUCCUGCCUUCCUUAUAAGGACCCUACCUUCCCUGAUGGAUAAUCUUGGGGAAGCCAAUGGCGCUUUUGCCAUCAACUUAUUAAAAAUGUUGGGAGAAGAGGAC